rnacentral:tRNA from 1 species
GAGGGUGUAGCUCAGUGGUAGAGCGCAUGCUUAGCAUGCCCAAGGUCCUGGGUUCAAUCCCCAGUACUGCCU